rnacentral:rRNA from 1 species
AGAGUUUGAUCCUGGCUCAGAGCGAACGCUGGCGGCGUGCCUAACACAUGCAAGUCGAACGUGAAAGGGAGCAAUCCUGAGUAAAGUGGCGUACGGGUGAGUAACACGUAGGUAAUCUACCCCAGAAUCUGGAAUAACCUGCCGAGAGGCGGGCUAAUACUGGAUAGAGCGACGAAGCUCGUAAGAGAGUUUUUCGGGAAAGGGAGCCUGUAAGGGCCCUUGUUCUGGGAUGAGCCUGCGUCUCAUUAGCUAGUUGGUGGGGUAAUGGCCCACCAAGGCGAUGAUGAGUAGCUGGUCUGAGAGGAUGAUCAGCCACACUGGAACUGAAACACGGUCCAGACUCCUACGGGAGGCAGCAGUGGGGAAUCUUGCGCAAUGGACGAAAGUCUGACGCAGCCACGCCGCGUGAGUGAAGAAGGCCUUCGGGUUGUAAAGCUCUGUCGGGCGGGACGAACAUCUUUUUGGUGAAUAGCCAGAAGGACUGACGGUACCGCCAAAGGAAGCACCGGCUAACUCCGUGCCAGCAGCCGCGGUAAUACGGAGGGUGCAAGCGUUGCUCGGAAUUAUUGGGCGUAAAGGGCAAGUAGGUGGUCUCAUUUGUCUGGGGUGAAAGCCUUGAGCUUAACUUAAGAAGUGCCCCGGAAACGGUGAGACUCGAGUUCUGGAGAGGGUCGUGGAAUUCCCCGGUGUAGCGGUGAAAUGCGUAGAGAUCGGGAGGAACACCUGAGGCGAAGGCGGCGACCUGGACAGACACUGACACUCAACUGCGAAAGCGUGGGGAGCAAACAGGAUUAGAUACC